GUGCGCCUACGGGGGGCAGCAGUAGGGAAUCUUCCACAAUGGGCGAAAGCCUGAUGGAGCAACGCCGCGUGGGUGAAGAAGGUCUUCGGAUCGUAAAACCCUGUUGUUAGAGAAGAAAGUGCGUGAGAGUAACUGUUCACGUUUCAACGGUAUCUAACCAGAAAGCCACGGCUAACUACGUGCCAGCAGCCGCGGCAAUACGUAGGUGGCAAGCGUUAUCCGGAUUUAUUGGGCGGAAAGGGAACGCAGGCGGUCUUUUAAGUCUGAUGUGAAAGCGUUCGGCUUAACCGGAGUAGGUCAUUGGA
rnacentral:rRNA from 1 species